CCGCGCGCUCCCAGGAACAACCCCAGGCCCAGAAGCAGCAGCAGCAGGGCCUCGUGGGGGCUGAGUCUUCCUGGGACCACCGCUGCCGGAGAAAGCUGCCGGAGGAUGUGCUUCAGCAAAAUCAGGCAUUAAACUGCAAGGACAACACGAGACUAAAGAAAUGAGGCUAAGUACAGGAAAGCAAUGAUGAGAAAGGCUCAGGAUGUCAGCUGUGCUUCCCAGUGAAGAAAGCAAACAACCCAGCCUGGACUCAAAAGCAAGAUGCUCCAGGAGGGAUGUCUCCAGAAGAAAAUGAGAUUGAUUAUCUGCGGUUUUUAGAUAUGCUAAAAAUAAAUGUUCAGUUCCGCUGGUU